CAUCUUUUCUUGUUAGUUUUUGAAGUAUGGCCUGCCCACUGACUUAGAGUUGAAGGGCCGCGGUAUUUUGACCGUGCAAAGGUAGCAUAAUCAUUAGUUCUUUAAUUGUGAUCUGGUAUGAAUGGCUUGACGAGACAUAAGCUGUCUUAGAGGUAUUGGUUUAUUGAAUUUGGUUUUUGAGUUAAAAUUCUUAAAUGUUUUUAUGGGACGAGAAGACCCUAUAGAGUUUGACAAUUUUCCUAUUUAUUCGUUGUUUGUAUUUAUUUACAUUGAGUGGGAGCAAAUUGUUUUGUUGGGGUGAUGGGAGGAAUAUUAUUUAACUCCUCUUUGUUUUUAUAUAUUUAUGUAUAUAUUUUUGAUCCAUUUAUUUUGAUUAUAAGAUUAAAUUACCUUA
rnacentral:rRNA from 1 species